GAUGAAGAACGUAGCGAAAUGCGAUAAGUAAUGUGAAUUGCAGAAUUCAGUGAAUCAUCGAAUCUUUGAACGCACAUUGCGCCCGCUAGUAUUCUGGCGGGCAUGCCUGUCCGAGCGUCAUUUCAACCCUCAAGCUCCCGGGCUUGGUGUUGGGGAUCGGCGAGCCUCCGCGCCCGCCGUCCCCUAAAUCUAGUGGCGGUCUCGCUGUAGCUUCCUCUGCGUAGUAGCACACCUCGCACUGGGAAACAGCGCGGCCACGCCGUUAAACCCCCAACUUCUGAACGUUUGACCUCGGAUCAGGUAGGAAUACCCGCUGAACUUAAGCAUAUCAAUAAGCGGAGGA
rnacentral:misc_RNA from 1 species